rnacentral:rRNA from 1 species
UCUACCAUGCAGUCGAGCGGAAGGCCCUUCGGGGUACUCGAGCGGCGAACGGGUGAGUAACACGUGAGCAACCUGCCCUAGGCUUUGGGAUAACCCCGGGAAACCGGGGCUAAUACCGAAUAUGACUUCUGGUCGCAUGACUGGUGGUGGAAAGUUUUUCGGCCUGGGAUGGGCUCGCGGCCUAUCAGCUUGUUGGUGGGGUGAUGGCCUACCAAGGCGACGACGGGUAGCCGGCCUGAGAGGGCGACCGGCCACACUGGGACUGAGACACGGCCCAGACUCCUACGGGAGGCAGCAGUGGGGAAUAUUGCACAAUGGGCGGAAGCCUGAUGCAGCGACGCCGCGUGAGGGAUGACGGCCUUCGGGUUGUAAACCUCUUUCAGCAGGGACGAAGCGUAAGUGACGGUACCUGCAGAAGAAGCGCCGGCCAACUACGUGCCAGCAGCCGCGGUAAGACGUAGGGCGCGAGCGUUGUCCGGAUUUAUUGGGCGUAAAGAGCUCGUAGGCGGCUUGUCGCGUCGACUGUGAAAACCCGCAGCUCAACUGCGGGCCUGCAGUCGAUACGGGCAGGCUAGAGUUCGGUAGGGGAGACUGGAAUUCCUGGUGUAGCGGUGAAAUGCGCAGAUAUCAGGAGGAACACCGGUGGCGAAGGCGGGUCUCUGGGCCGAUACUGACGCUGAGGAGCGAAAGCGUGGGGAGCGAACAGGAUUAGAUACCCUGGUAGUCCACGCUGUAAACGUUGGGCGCUAGGUGUGGGGGGCCUCU